GGGCCCGCACAAGCGGUGGAGCAUGUGGUUUAAUUCGAUGAUACGCGAGGAACCUUACCAGGGCUUAAAUGUAGGAUGCAUUAGCUAGAGAUAGCUAUUUCUUCGGACUUCUUACAAGGUGCUGCAUGGUUGUCGUCAGCUCGUGCCGUGAGGUGUCAGGUUAAGUCCUAUAACGAGCGCAACCCCUAUUUUUAGUUGCCAGCAUUUAGUUGGGCACUCUAGAGAGACUGCCGGUGAUAAACCGGAGGAAGGUGUGGAUGACGUCAAGUCAUCAUGCCCCUUACAUCCUGGGCUACACACGUACUACAAUGCUACGGACAAAGGGCAGCAAGUUCGCGAGGACAAG
rnacentral:rRNA from 1 species